CCUACGGGAGGCUGCAGUGGGGGAUAUUGCACAAUGGGGGAAACCCUGAUGCAGCGACGCCGCGUGUGGGAAGACGGUCCUCUGGAUUGUAAACUACUGUCCCCAGGGACGAAGAUGACGGUACCUGGGGAGGAAGCUCCGGCAAACUACGUGCCAGCAGCCGCGGUAAUCGGUAGGUAGCGAGGGUUUUCCGGAAUUACGGGGUGUAACGGGAGUGUAGGGGGGGAUGCAAGGUGGUGGUAAAAACUUCCGGCUAAACUGGUAGUCGCACUUAAAACUGCAGGUCUUGAGUGAAGUAGAGGCAGGCGGAAUUCCUAGUGUAGCGGUGAAAUGCGUAGAUAUUAGGAAGAACACCAGUGGCGAAGGCGGCCUGCUGGACUUUUACUGACGCUGAGGCUCGAAAGUGUGGGGAGCAAACAGGAUUAGAUACCCCAGUAGUC
rnacentral:rRNA from 1 species